UACGUAGGGUCCGAGCGUUGUCCGGAAUUACUGGGCGUAAAGAGCUCGUAGGCGGUUCGUCGCGUCGGCUGUGAAAUCCCGAGGCUCAACCUCGGGUCUGCAGUCGAUACGGGCGGACUGGAGUUCGGCAGGGGAGACUGGAAUUCCUGGUGUAGCGGUGAAAUGCGCAGAUAUCAGGAGGAACACCGGUGGCGAAGGCGGGUCUCUGGGCCGAUACUGACGCUGGAGGAAGCGAAAGCGUGGGGAGCGAACAGG
rnacentral:rRNA from 1 species